rnacentral:lncRNA from 1 species
AUUCAUACACAUUCCAUUCAUACAUAUUCCAUUCAUACACAUUCCAUUCAUACACAAAUAUCCAUAAAAAUUAUGCAAAACAAUGAACCAAUCAAUUCCAAAACAUUCCAUUCAAUUCUAUACCAUUCCAAAAGAUAAAAGAAAAGGAAUGAAUUCUAAACCAUUCUAAACCAUUCUAUACAAUUCCAAAACAUACCAUCAAUUCCAUACCAUUCCAAUUUUCAUACAAUUCAUGUCAUUUAAAACAAAACUAAACGAAAAGAUAAAUAAAGAGGAACCUAUUUGUUAGUGUCGN